rnacentral:misc_RNA from 1 species
UACGGGGAAGGCAAGCGUUACCCGGAAUUACUGGGCGUAAAGCGCGCGUAGGUGGCUUGAUAAGCCGGUUGUGAAAGCCCCGGGCUCAACCUGGGAACGGCAUCCGGAACUGUCAGGCUAGAGUGCAGGAGAGGAAGGUAGAAUUCCCGGUGUAGCGGUGAAAUGCGUAGAGAUCGGGAGGAAUACCAGUGGCGAAGGCGGCCUUCUGGACUGACACUGACGCUGAGGUGCGAAAGCGUGGGUAGCAAACAGG